AUCUAGUUGAUGACUCCCAAAUAGGACGAAACGCGCGUUAAACUGGAU
rfam:Schistosoma mattheei strain Denwood, Zambia genome assembly, scaffold: SMTD_scaffold0000136